UAUAAGUGCAUUAGUGAUUUUUUGUAUCCAACGUUUGACCGUCCGUCUUAUUUGAGAAAAAAUUAUGAUUAAUAUUUUUAUUGUUAUUAGAUGAUAAAACAUGAAUAAUACUUUAUGUGUGACUUUUAUACAUUUUCUCAAAAAAAUUUCAAAUAAGACAUAUAGUCAAAUGUUAAACACAUAAACCCACACCUGCACUUAUU
rfam:Oryza glaberrima chromosome 8 Oglab08_unplaced064_5, whole genome shotgun sequence.